UUACUUACCGGGCAGGGGAGACACCAUGAUCAGGCAGGUGGUUUUCCUGGGGCGAGGCUCAUCCCCUGCACCAUUCAGGGGUGGCGAAUGUGCUGGUUUUGGCUGGGACAGAGUUAAUUUUUUUCACAG
rnacentral:snRNA from 12 species